ACUUUUUACCUACAUUUAAAUUUUUUUAAAUAAGUGAUACAAAAUUAAUGUUUAAACUGUAGAAAUUUAAAAGUUUCUUAAAUAUAUUAAUAUGUUGAAUUAAAAUAUUUACCAACAUUACAAAUUUGUAAAAUAGUAAUACAAAAUUCCUCUAACUUAAAUUUAAAUUUUUAAUAUUUAAUAUUUAAUAUUUAAUUUGAAUUUAAAUUAAUAUAUUAUAAAGAUAAUUUUUUUUUUUUUUUGAAAGAUAGGUAGCACGCUACCCGCUUCGUUUAUUUCAUUUCGAAAUAAACUUAGCUGGAAAUAUGAAUCAACUAGGAUUCGAACUUGGGUCUCGGAUACCAACCACCAAGCCCUUGCCACUUGCUCUAGGAAUGGUCGGUAUAUUAUAAAGAUAAUGUUAGUAUAUUAAUUUGAUUACGUUUUUUAUAUCCACCUGAACCAAACACCGAUAAUGAGAAUGAUUUAUUCUGAUUCCGAUUCAGGUGAUGAACCAAACAGAAUUAGGUAAUGAGUCAUUCCGAUUUCGAUUCCAGCUUAUUUUGAUUCCGAUUCCGAUUUCGAUUCCGACUACGAACCAAAGAUGCCCUAAAAAUUUUUGCCAAAUAUAGCUAAAGGAUAAUUUUGGAAAAGAUUAUAUUUUAUUGUCAGAAUUACUUAAUUUUAUAAACUGAAUCAAAUAUAGCAUUAAACCAAACAUUGUAAUACAACAUAGUAGUAAUCUCAUUCAGAAAUUCACAAUAUCUGAAUAUGUCGAAAUAACUUGUAAUGUUAUAUAGCGCAAACCAAACGCGUAUGCUUUACUUUUUUUCUAAGUCUUCAUC
rnacentral:lncRNA from 1 species